GAUGAACGCUGGCGGCGUGCCUAAUACAUGCAAGUCGAGCGAACGGACGAGAAGCUUGCUUCUCUGAUGUUAGCGGCGGACGGGUGAGUAACACGUGGAUAACCUACCUAUAAGACUGGGAUAACUUCGGGAAACCGUAGCUAAUACCGGAUAAUAUUUUGAACCGCAUGGUUCAAAAGUGAAAGACGGUCUUGCUGUCACUUAUAGAUGGAUCCGCGCUGCAUUAGCUAGUUGGUAAGGUAACGGCUUACCAAGGCAACGAUGCAUAGCCGACCUGAGAGGGUGAUCGGCCACACUGGAACUGAGACACGGUCCAGACUCCUACGGGAGGCAGCAGUAGGGAAUCUUCCGCAAUGGGCGAAAGCCUGACGGGGCAACGCCGCGUGAGUGAUGAAGGUCUUCGGAUCGUAAAACUCUGUUAUUAGGGAAGAACAUAUGUGUAAGUAACUGUGCACAUCUUGACGGUACCUAAUCAGAAAGCCACGGCUAACUACGUGCCAGCAGCCGCGGUAAUACGUAGGUGGCAAGCGUUAUCCGGAAUUAUUGGGCGUAAAGCGCGCGUAGGCGGUUUUUUAAGUCUGAUGUGAAAGCCCACGGCUCAACCGUGGAGGGUCAUUGGAAACUGGAAAACUUGAGUGCAGAAGAGGAAAGUGGAAUUCCAUGUGUAGCGGUGAAAUGCGCAGAGAUAUGGAGGAACACCAGUGGCGAAGGCGACUUUCUGGUCUGUAACUGACGCUGAUGUGCGAAAGCGUGGGGAUCAAACAGGAUUAGAUACCCUGGUAGUCCACGCCGUAAACGAUGAGUGCUAAGUGUUAGGGGGUUUCCGCCCCUUAGUGCUGCAGCUAACGCAUUAAGCACUCCGCCUGGGGAGUACGACCGCAAGGUUGAAACUCAAAGGAAUUGACGGGGACCCGCACAAGCGGUGGAGCAUGUGGUUUAAUUCGAAGCAACGCGAAGAACCUUACCAAAUCUUGACAUCCUUUGACAACUCUAGAGAUAGAGCCUUCCCCUUCGGGGGACAAAGUGACAGGUGGUGCAUGGUUGUCGUCAGCUCGUGUCGUGAGAUGUUGGGUUAAGUCCCGCAACGAGCGCAACCCUUAAGCUUAGUUGCCAUCAUUAAGUUGGGCACUCUAAGUUGACUGCCGGUGACAAACCGGAGGAAGGUGGGGAUGACGUCAAAUCAUCAUGCCCCUUAUGAUUUGGGCUACACACGUGCUACAAUGGACAAUACAAAGGGCAGCGAAACCGCGAGGUCAAGCAAAUCCCAUAAAGUUGUUCUCAGUUCGGAUUGUAGUCUGCAACUCGACUACAUGAAGCUGGAAUCGCUAGUAAUCGUAGAUCAGCAUGCUACGGUGAAUACGUUCCCGGGUCU
rnacentral:rRNA from 1 species